GUGCCAGCCGCCGCGGUAAUACCGGCAGCCCGAGUGAUGACCGAUCUUAUUGGGCCUAAAGCGUCCGUAGCUGGCUACGCAAGUCCAUCGGAAAAUCCACCCGCCCAACGGGUGGGCGUCCGGUGGAACCUGUGUGGCUUGGGACCGGGAGGCCUGAGGGGUACGAUCGGGGUAGGAGUGAAAUCCUGUAAUCCCGCUCGGACCGCCGAUGGGGAAACCACCUCAGGAGAACGGAUCCGACAGUGAGGGACGAAAGCCAGGGUCUCGAACCGGAUUAGAUACCCUGGUAGUCC
rnacentral:rRNA from 1 species